ensembl:lncRNA novel transcript, sense intronic to CD302and LY75-CD302
GGGCGGCCCGCAGACGCAACACCCGGCCGGCCAUCCCGCCCUUCCCUGCACGCCCGUCCCCCGUGGGUCCUGGCUCCGGGUCACCUCUCACCCGCCUGCCCUCGGGGAGGGGAGGUGGCCGAGAAUAAGGGAGGGCUCUGUCUUCCUCGGAGUCCACAUCCUCACCGCAGACCCCACUCCGCGGGGAGGGAACCCCCAAAUUAGGCCAGUUGGCCGGAGAACUGAGGGACUUGGAGUCGCACGACGGGCGCCGUUUCAGGGCAAUUUCGGGCUGAAAUGAGAAGCGGGGACGUUGGUGGCGAUUUCCCCUGCUGGUGCGCGGCCGGAGUGGGGUUGCUGGGAUGGGGGUGGGGGCCGGAGGAAGUAGGCCCUCUUUUGCAAGCAGCGCUGUUUGUCUAGUUGGUUGGUGUUCAAGUUGUUUAAACAGGAAAACAGUUCAGCCAAAUAACCCCUGGAUGGAAGAGGAACGGGAAUAGGCAAAGCUUGGAUUUCACUGAAAUCAAGGAGUUUUAAAGUUCUAGUCUGCUGUUGUGCAAGUGACAUCUGAAAAAUCACACACGUGAUCAUUCAUUUACAAAACGACUCGUGAGGAAAAUGCACAAUUCUAUUGACCGUGGUCUUUAUUUUUAAAAAAUUUCCAUACAAGCAUGUCAAAAAUAUGUGGAUGGGGAGACUCUGGAGAACACAGACUUCCAAAAACACCACUGACUGAAUAAUUCCAGGAAUUAAAGAGCAAAAUAAACAAGAACUAAAUGA